AGAGAGAGAGGGAGAGUUAUAUGGUUUUUAACUUUUUGGUGUGUUGUAUUUCUGGGUGAACAGAAAUCUCUCCCACCCUUUUGAUAUCACUUUGCAGGCCUCAUUGAACUUGCAUCAGCGCCAUCAGCUACACUCAUUCAAGGGGCGCCUUCGAAGGUCCUGAAAAGGGCACCGUAUAGCAAUAGUAUGCCCACUAAAACAUUAAAAUUCGAUGUGUUUACUGUCGGGUUCGAUUGUAAUUGCGACUAUUGCAAAUAUUGGAAUAGAAAAUGAUAUUUUGAAAUGCAUUGAAAAUGGCUUGUACUUUGACUGACGACAGUCGAAGAUUUUAAUGGUUGUUGUGAACAACAGAAUGUGGUAGAGAAUUUUUGAACGCCAAC
rnacentral:lncRNA from 1 species